rnacentral:lncRNA from 1 species
AAAAUAGAACCCUAAAUGUUUGAACUGAACUUAUCUACAAUAUGAACGGUUUGUGUCAUUAAAAUGAACUCAAAAUAAAACUCAAAAUUUUUGAGUUGCACCCAUACAACUUCAGAGAAGCCAGAUCCAUAUUAUAUAUAUGAACAUAAGAAUCUUGAUAUAUUAUCUUUUGGAAAGAGUUUUACUAGAGACAAUGAACAGUGGAUGGAUAAUGCAAAUUCACAUGUGGUGGUACCCACGUAUUUAUUAGCUCAUUGCAACAAAAUAUAUAUUUUUUAUUUUUUUAUUUUGAAAAUCAUGUCCAAUGUUCUCUUCUACUUUUUAUAUUUCGUGUUUGAUUGGCAACUAGAAAUGGUUAUAAGUUUAUAACACACACAACACUGUUCAUGCUUGGUAAUGUUAGAUUUUGUUAAAGUGUUUUUUGGAAAAGCAACCCUUGAAGUAUUUCUGAAAAUAUGCUUAAAUCGACCCUUCAAAAGAAAAAACAAAAGCAUUAAGUAAUUUUUUAAAGGUUUUCCAAAUAUUCACGUACAACGUUUUUCUAGAUAAAAAUUGACAAAAAGCUUCUAGAAAUUUUUCAAAACAUGCUCACUAUAUUCCAUAAGUGUGAAAUAUAAUAUAUCACACGAUUACACUCCCAUGGUAUAUUAUAUCCCCACCAGCAAACAUGGCCCCCUCUCAAUAUUCAUUCAAUGGCUAUGACCAAUCCUUUUUUUCUUAUCCCAAGCCAUAUCCUGAUAUCCUAACCCAAACAAACAUAGUAUAUGUAUUAUUACUUUUUUUAUAUAUCGUGUAUCUUAUUGUAUUACGUAUCUCUUUAUCUUUUUGUAUCCUUUCAUUUCAUAUUCGGACAAUCAAACAAACCCUUAUCAUAUUUGUGUUGUUAAAACAGGCAAAAUCGAUCGGCAGCUCAGCGCAAAUGAUUACCCCCGGGGUUACAGUUAUUCGUACCCCACUUAUUAUUCUCCCAACCGCCCAUGAUGUUUGUUGAUCAAAAUUUAGAACUUAUGUAUAAGACCGAUUAAAAAGGUGGUUGAUAUGAGCAUGAGAGGCUAUUUGCUUAGCAACCUAUUUUGUUGUCACUACUACUUUGCCUCUUUGAUAAAAAGAUGGCAUCUUGUAAAAUCUAUGAUAGCUUAUGAAUAAAAUUCAGUGACUAAAGCUGUCCAUGACAUUUACUAUUAUCAUUUCUUUAUGCGUGUGAAAUUAUAUUUUAUUUUAAUAGCUCGGUAUCUAGUGCUUCACGUACCAACUAAUUUAGGGAUCAAUUCUAUCGUCCGUUAGUGGAGGGUCUGAUUAAAUUAGAUCGGUGCAAAUUCCCGUGUGGAUUGGUUAACUCAUUAAUUGAUAACUCUUGGGAAGUUUCGAACUAGAGAUCUUGAAAGAAAUCGAACAAACUUCAAGGUGAUCUCAUACAUAGAUCACCAAGCUAAUCAAUCCAUUGGAAUUAUAUGUGUGGAAAUUAAAGGGAGGAAAUGUGUAUAUAUGAUGGGCACAUAUUGGAGAAGUUUACAAGUUUAGGUGUGACUUUCUCUUCUCUUUUCUGUUCAGUACUCUCAAUAAUAUAGAAACCUAAAAUAUAUAUUUGUCUUCUCUCUCUAACUACUCUUCUCACUACUCUCUAAAUAAUAAUUUUUCUCACAUUUCUCUCUCCAAAUUCCUCCAGCGUCCUUUUACUUUUUUUCUCUAGUGUUCUCUAAGAUUUUUUAAUGUGUAUUACGGAGAAGAGAAUGGCGAUUUAUGGGUAAGCCUAGGUUUUCAAAUUUGGUAUCUUAUGGACUUAGAAACUUUUGGGGUGGCUUCACUGUCUGAAAUGCAAACUAAAAAUUUUGAUUUUUGGAAAGGAAAAAAUAAUAAAAAAUAAAAUAAAAAGUUUUUUGUAUAUAAAAUUAGACUUUCAAAAAAUAAUCGGGUUAAAAUUAAGUAAAUAGAUUUUUGGCUAAAAACUAUUUGAACUUUAAAAUAAAAUAUUUGACCUUAAAAGAAAAUAAAUUGGACUGAACCAAAACAAGUGUAUUUACAAUAGCCUUGGACUUCUAAAAAAGGAAAACUACUUGAGCGAAACAGACUUGGACUUUAAAAAUAACAAUUGGGUUAAAAAAAUUUUAAAAGAGAUUUUUUCAUGGCCCACUACUAUUCUGAGGUUAUAUUUACCAUUUAAUUUUUAGAGAAAAAAAUAUUGAUGAUUGGAUAUUGUGGCUUCAGCUUGGAUGAGGGAUUGUCAAGUAACCAAUAUUUGGUCCCGAUGUCCCAAGUUUUUAGAAACUUCCCACGCUGAGUGGGCUUAUCCAUUUCCGACAAUGUAUAACCAUAACCAGUUGAUCUGAUGUUAGAAAUUUGGUGUUUUUUAAAGUGCAGGAGUUAUAUGUAAAGUGGGCCUGAUUUAUUAGCCUAUGGAUUUAUAGGUUUGACCCACAUGCGGUUGCAUCGUAGCUGCUUGCCCUGCCCAACCCGAUUCGAUUCGUGUUCGUGCGGGCCGGCCGAGUUUGGUCUUGGUCUU